GACGAACGCUGGCGGCGUGCUUAACACAUGCAAGUCGAACGGAAAGGCCCUGCUUUUGUGGGGUGCUCGAGUGGCGAACGGGUGAGUAACACGUGAGUAACCUGCCCUUGACUUUGGGAUAACUUCAGGAAACUGGGGCUAAUACCGGAUAGGAGCUCCUGCUGCAUGGUGGGGGUUGGAAAGUUUCGGCGGUUGGGGAUGGACUCGCGGCUUAUCAGCUUGUUGGUGGGGUAGUGGCUUACCAAGGCUUUGACGGGUAGCCGGCCUGAGAGGGUGACCGGCCACAUUGGGUCUGAGAUACGGCCCAGACUCCUACGGGAGGCAGGCGUGGGGAAUAUUGCACAAUGGGCGGAAGCAUGAUGGAGCAACGCCGGGUGCGGGAUGACGGAAUUCGGGUUGUAAACCGCUUUCGCCUGUGACGAAGCGUGAGUGCCGGUACUGGGUAAAGAAGCACCGGCUAAUUCCGU
rnacentral:rRNA from 1 species